rnacentral:rRNA from 1 species
UGAGGAAUAUUGGACAAUGGGUUAGCGCCUGAUCCAGCCAUCCCGCGUGAAGGACGACGGCCCUAUGGGUUGUAAACUUCUUUUGUAUAGGGAUAAACCUACUCUCGUGAGAGUAGCUGAAGGUACUAUACGAAUAAGCACCGGCUAACUCCGUGCCAGCAGCCGCGGUAAUACGGAGGGUGCAAGCGUUAUCCGGAUUUAUUGGGUUUAAAGGGUCCGAGGCGGAUCUGUAAGUCAGUGGUGAAAUCUCAUAGCUUAACUAUGAAACUGCCAUUGAUACUGCAGGUCUUGAGUAAAUUUGAAGUGGCUGGAAUAAGUAGUGUAGCGGUGAAAUGCAUAGAUAUUACUUAGAACACCAAUUGCGAAGGCAGGUCACUAAGAUUUAAAUCUGACGCUGAUGGAC